rnacentral:ncRNA from 1 species
GUGACAUGCUUAACAUAUGCAAAUUAGACGGGAAGUGGUGUUUCUAGUGGUGGACGGGUGAGUAACGUGUAAGAACUUGCCCUUAACAGGGGAAUAACAAUUGAAAAUGAUUGCUAAUACCCUACAAAAUGGGGAGUGAAAGGAGGAAUCCGCUCAAGGAGGGGCUUGCGUCUAAUCAGCUAGUUGGUGAGACAAUAGCUUAUCAAGGCGAUGAUCAAUAGUUGGUCCAAGGGCAUGAUCAGACACAUUGGGACUAAGACAUGACCUAGACUCCUACGGGAGGCAAUAGUGGGGAAUUCUCUGCAAUGGGUGAAAGCUUGAUGGAGCAAGUCUC